GGAAAAUGGCGGCGCUCGCUAGCUCCCUGAUCCGACAGAAGCGUGCGGUGAAGGAUGAGCCAGCGAACCGGCCCGUCAGCAGCAAACGGCGGCCCUGCCCCAAGAGCAACAAGUCGCUGUGCCAGAAGCAGAUCCUGGUGCUCAUCUCCAAAGUGCGGCUGUGCAGCGGCCACAGAGGGCGAACCCAGAAACAGCCCGAGCCCCAGCUCAAAGGCAUUGUGACUCGUCUCUACUGCCAGUAUGGCUUUUACCUCCAGAUGCUACCUGACGGCACGAUGGAUGGCACACGGGACGAGAGUAGCUGCUUCUCACAGUUCAACGUGAUUCCAGUGGGCCUGAGGAUUGUGGCUAUCCAGGGUACCAAGACAGGACUGUACCUGGCUAUGAAUGGUGAAGGCUACCUCUACACCUCAGAACACUUCACAUCUGAGUGCAAGUUCAAGGAGAGUGUGUUUGAGAACUACUACAUCACCUACUCGUCCAUGCUGUACCGUCAGACCCAGUCUGGCCGGGCCUGGUACAUCGGCAUCAACAAGGACGGCCAGGUCAUGAAAGGGAAUCGGGUCAAAAAGUCCAAGCGUGCCAGCCAUUUUGUCCCCAAAGUCAUCGAUGGUCAGGCAGGGCCUGGUCCCUAUGCCAGUGGAAACACGCCAUUAUUCAGUGGCAGUGGAAGAAAGAAUGAGAAGUCAACAAAUAACUUAAGGUUCCUCUCCCCUCCUUCCCCUACAGUGGCAAUGUACAAUGAACCCCCACUACAUGAACUGCCUGAGCAGUGCCCCCCCGGUAAGACAGUCAAGACUCUGGACUCCUCCUCUGCCCCGAACGGCAGGAGAGAGCCCCCCAUCGCUGACGCCUCUUAGUCCCUGAAGCUCUGGGUUGGAGGCCCUAACCAGGAACACCUCGCAGUCACAGUAACGCUGGGAACUGUCAGUGUCCCAGUAUGCUCUGAAGGGUCCUAGUCCAGUGACCACGAAGAGGAGCAGAAGGAGGAACUGGGACAGAAUCCACAAGCCUGCAAAAAAAUAGAAGAGGCUGUCAUGAACCAGCCAGCUGGCCAGUUUUACUUCAUCCAUCUUUACUGGACAUCUGCUGAUUUCUCAGAAGAGAUCAUGAGGACCAUUCAAAUCUGAUUCCAAGUCUGUGAUGUGAAGCAAAUGUGGCGGUAACUGUCAUUCACACCUGAUUCUGACUGCAGCGGAUUAAGUUGUCCCAAACUGUUCAGAGGAAUGGAACUAUUUAUACUACAAAGACAAAAAGGGGUUCACUGACUCAUUGACAAGCCUGACUGUUCACUCCCACUCCCUGAUCCAGCCUCCUUUCUGUAAAGUACGAUGAGAGACUCCUUUUUCAAUGACAAGUCUGAGACUCUCAUCCUCUCGAUCUAAUCCGAACCCUCAUGAAAAAUGACCAGGUGUUGUCUCAGUGAGAGCCACCGAUUUCCCCCAGCAGAACGUACCCCUUGGUGUCUGGCACUGGAAAGUAAGCCUUUGCUCCUGGUUGCCCAGGGAUGAGCUGUUGGCUUUCGGAGAACAUCACUGGGGCACAAUCAAAUAUUGAGGGAUCACAAAGGUCUUCCAUUCCAGUGGGCUCUUUGUUAUUUUAAAAAUAUUUGCUGCUUAUUCAUUCAUUCAGGGAAUCUCGAUCGCUGAUGCGUUGAUGGUUAACUCAGUUGCCGUAUCUGAGGAACAUGAAGCAUUGGCUGUUGGCAGUUGCCACCCUUUUCGGUUAACUGUGUUUAGGAAUAAGGUAAUUUCCAUUGAUCAGAAACACUGGAUAAUGCUCCAUGUUCAGAACUUCAUCCAGCAUCGCCCAUCAUGCUUGUUAACCUUUCAGUGUGUUUGCUGGUGUGUGUCCAUAGGAGACCAUGCAUGAGAAAAAAGGUCAGUGUGAUUGUGUGUGUUUGUACCAAUAAAAGCAGUAGUCCAUUAAUGAGACUACAUAAUCAUUAGCAACAGCAAUAGCGUACAGACCAGUGGCAGUGUCAAGAGCAACAGCGCAGCACCGAGUCUGCAGAAUGACUACAAAGAGCAAUAAUGAAGCCAAAACAAAAUGCUAACAGCAAUAAUUAUAUACAGAAACGAACGGUAAUGUCUGUGUGAGUGAUAAUGAAAAUACAAAUAUGUCUAACAAGAGUUACACUUUGUAAGGCUGUGCCAGCCAUGUAGAAUUGUGUAGAGUUGAAUAAAAUUGUACAGGUUUGCGAUAUGCCCCUUCCAAUCACCAGAGCUAGGCUGCUCAAAUAAGUCCUGGAGGUGAGCCUAGUGCAAAUAUUCUGAAAUGACCUGAUCCACUCCUUCAAAAAGAAAAUUCUGACAUCACCAUAAAUACAUGGGUUUGGGUUUGAUAUAAUAUCCUGGCAUUAAUCCAGACUAUGUUUCUUUUCUUUAGAUUGUACAUUUGGCAUCAAUUCAACUAACGUGAUUCUUUUAAAAUAUAUUUAUAUAUAAUCUAAAAUACAGUACCACACAAAAGUUUGGACACGCCAAGCCGCCCACAAAGGAGAGUGAUUGUGUCGCAUCACAUGACCUGGUCACCUGACGGAAACACAGUAGAAAUGGUUUUGGAGGAGUCUGACCAGAGAGUAAAGGAAAAGCAGCCAAUGAGAGCUCAGCAUAUGUGGGCCCUCCUUCAGGACAGCUGGAAAAGCAUCCCAGGAGGCCACCUCAUGAAACUGGCGUAAAGGAGACAGUAGGGUCAGGCAGUCCCUGGAGCAACUGGAGUUAAGUGCCUCGCUCAAGGGUCCAGUGGUGGGAUCACUCUGCCGACCCAGGGAUUUGAACCAGCAACCUUCUGAGUUCCAACCCACAGAGCUGCCCUGCCCCAACAAAUCAUUUUUUAAAUAUAUUUUUCAUCAGUGCAUAAUUCCAUAUGUGUUAUUCAUAGUUUUUAUGUCUUUAUAAUUAUUCUGAAAUGUAGAGAAUAGUACAAAAAAUCUUUCCAUGGGUAGGUGUGCCCAAACUUUUUACUGGUAUUGUACAUGUUUCUACUUUCGCAUGGAGUCCGUAUUUUAUUUGUUCAAAUGCAGCAUUCUGGCAUCUACUGGCUUUAUUUUAAUUAUCUCAAAUCAGCUGAUGAACCCAACCCUCCAGUUUUUUUUUCAUGGGGAGCCUUUUGCAUUAUACUUGAUUGUGACCUAAUCAGGGCUCCUCUGGUUCAGUAGAAAUAUUGAAUUGUAUCUUUGUGUUUCUGCAUUGUCACUGAUGCCAUUUGCUCAUGGUGUAUCUUUGUUGAAAUGUACUGCUUCACAUCAUAGGUUACUAAUGUAAGGUGGUCUUUCUCAGAAGGAAAUGUUCAUGGUGGAAUGGUUUGAUUUGUAAUAACUGCUGGAAAGAAACUCAGGAUUUUUGCUCCAUGU